AGAACGAACGCUGGCGGCAGGCUUAACACAUGCAAGUCGAACGCAUCUCUUCGGAGAUGAGUGGCAGACGGGUGAGUAACGCGUGGGAACGUACCCUUUGGUUCGGGAUAACCCGGGGAAACUCGGGCUAAUACCGGAUAAGCCGGAAACGGGAAAGGUUUACUGCCGAAGGAUCGGCCCGCGUCGGAUUAGCUAGUUGGUGUGGUAACGGCGCACCAAGGCGACGAUCCGUAGCUGGUCUGAGAGGAUGAUCAGCCACACUGGGACUGAGACACGGCCCAGACUCCUACGGGAGGCAGCAGUGGGGAAUAUUGGACAAUGGGCGCAAGCCUGAUCCAGCCAUGCCGCGUGAGUGAAGAAGGCCCUAGGGUUGUAAAGCUCUUUCAGCGGGGACGAUAAUGACGGUACCCGCAGAAGAAGCCCCGGCUAACUUCGUGCCAGCAGCCGC
rnacentral:rRNA from 1 species